rnacentral:rRNA from 1 species
AACGAACGCUGGCGGCAGGCCUAACACAUGCAAGUCGAGCGCCCUUUCGGGGGAGCGGCGGACGGGUGAGUAACGCGUGGGAAUAUGCCCUUCUCUACGGAAUAGCCUCGGGAGACUGAGAGUAAUACCGUAUACGCCCUGUGGGGGAAAGAUUUAUCGGGGAAGGAUUAGCCCGCGUUGGAUUAGGUAGUUGGUGGGGUAAUGGCCUACCAAGCCGACGAUCCAUAGCUGGUUUGAGAGGAUGAUCAGCCACACUGGGACUGAGACACGGCCCAGACUCCUACGGGAGGCAGCAGUGGGGAAUCUUAGACAAUGGGGGCAACCCUGAUCUAGCCAUGCCGCGUGAGUGAUGAAGGCCUUAGGGUUGUAAAGCUCUUUCAGCUGGGAAGAUAAUGACGGUACCAGCAGAAGAAGCCCCGGCUAACUCCGUG